GUGACAAUUGUGUAAUAUACUUUCCAUUUCCAUUAAGGAAAAAAUAUGUAGAUGCCCUAUGAUUCACAUGAUACUUGAAUGGAAUUAUCAUAAACUAAGUUUAACUUUUCUUAAAGCAAAUAUAAGCCCUAAAUAAAUUGUAAAAUCAUACAGUGUCUGCAAUACCUUAUUUUAGUGACAAAAUUUGUAGCUAUCAGAUUAAGAACCAUCAAUAAUUUAAAAAUGAAACACUAUGAUUAUCUUAUUUUCUCCACCUAUAUCUUAGUUUCCUAAGCACAAGUAACUUUGAAUGUCAUUUUUCCUUGUCAAGUGGUUCUACAUAAUCAUGGAAUAUGUGCUGCUUUCCUUAGGCACAAUAAAGACAUUGCCCUGGUCAACCUGGCAAACGUUCUACACAGAGCACACUUCUCUGCUGAUGCUGCUGUUGUGGUCCAUGCAGCUCUGGAUGACAGUGACUUCUUCACCAGCUAUUAUACUUUGGGGAAUAUAUAUGCAAUGCUUGGGGAAUAUAACCACUCAGUGCUCUGUUAUGACCACGCUUUGCAGGCCAGACCUGGGUUUGAGCAAGCUAUAAAGAGGA
rnacentral:sRNA from 1 species